rnacentral:rRNA from 1 species
UACGGAGGGUGCAAGCGUUAAUCGGAAUUACUGGGCGUAAAGCGCACGCAGGCGGUCUGUCAAGUCGGAUGUGAAAUCCCCGGGCUCAACCUGGGAACUGCAUUCGAGACUGUGUAGCUGGGGUGCGGAAGAGGGAAGCGGAAUUUCCGGUGUAGCGGUGAAAUGCGUAGAUAUCGGAAGGAACAUCAGUGGCGAAAGCGGCUUCCUGGUCCAGCACCGACGUUCAGGCACGAAAGCGUGGGGAGCAAACAGG